rnacentral:lncRNA from 1 species
UACACACUCACUCAUGGACACACAUGCACACACACACUCAUAUACGUACACACGCACACCAGGAUCACACCAUCCUCUCUACACACUCACUCAUGGACACACAUGCACACACACACUCAUAUACAUACACACGCACACCAGGCUCACACAAUCCUCUCUACACACUCACUCAUGGACACACAUGCACACACACUCAUAUACAUACACACGCACACCAGACUCACACAAUCCUCUCUACACACUCAUGGACACACAUGCACACACACACUCAUAUACAUACGCACUCACACCAGGCUCACACCAUCCUCUCUACACACUCACUCAUGCACACACACACUCAUACAUACACACGCACACCAGGCUCACACCAUCCUCUCUACACACAUGUACACACAUGCACACACAUACAUACACAUGCACACCAGGCUCACACAAUCCUCUG